rnacentral:tRNA from 1 species
GCUCGGGUGGCGGAAUGGUAGACGCUGAGGACUUAAAAUCCUUUGUCCGCAAGGGCGUGCGGGUUCGACUCCCGCCCCGAGCACCA